rnacentral:rRNA from 1 species
GACGAACGCUGGCGGCGUGCUUAACACAUGCAAGUCGAACGGAAAGGCCCUGCUUUUGUGGGGUGCUCGAGUGGCGAACGGGUGAGUAACACGUGAGUAACCUGCCCUUGACUUUGGGAUAACUUCAGGAAACUGGGGCUAAUACCGGAUAGGAGCUCCUGCUGCAUGGUGGGGGUUGGAAAGUUUCGGCGGUUGGGGAUGGACUCGCGGCUUAUCAGCUGGUUGGUGGGGUAGUGGCUUACCAAGGCUUUGACGGGUAGCCGGCCUGAGAGGGUGACCGGCCACAUUGGGACUGAGAUACGGCCCAGACUCCUACGGGAGGCAGUAGUGGGGAAUAUUGCACAAUGGGCGGAAGCCUGAUGCAGCAACGCCGCGUGCGGGAUGACGGCCUUCGGGUUGUAAACCGCUUUCGCCUGUGACGAAGCGUGAGUGACGGUAAUGGGUAAAGAAGCACCGGCUAACUACGUG